rnacentral:rRNA from 1 species
GAUGAACGCUGGCGGCGUGCUUAACACAUGCAAGUCGAACGGAAAGGCUCCUGCUUGCAGGGGUACUCGAGUGGCGAACGGGUGAGUAACACGUGGGUGAUCUGCCCUGCACUUCGGGAUAAGCCUGGGAAACUGGGUCUAAUACCGGAUAGGACCACAUUUUGGAUGGUGUGGUGGAAAGUUUUUCGGUGUGGGAUGAGCUCGCGGCCUAUCAGCUUGUUGGUGGGGUAAUGGCCUACCAAGGCGUCGACGGGUAGCCGGCCUGAGAGGGUGUACGGCCACAUUGGGACUGAGAUACGGCCCAGACUCCUACGGGAGGCAGCAGUGGGGAAUAUUGCACAAUGGGCGCAAGCCUGAUGCAGCGACGCCGCGUGGGGGAUGACGGCCUUCGGGUUGUAAACUCCUUUCGCUAGGGACGAAGCGUCUUUGUGACGGUACCUGGAGAAGAAGCACCGGCUAACUACGUG